UACGUAGGGUGCGAGCGUUAAUCGGAAUUACUGGGCGUAAAGGGUGCGCAGGCGGCUUGCUAAGACAGGUGUGAAAGCCCCGGGCUCAACCUGGGAAUGGCAUUGGAAACUGGCGAGCUAGAGUGUGGCAGAGGGGGGUGGAAUUCCGCGUGUAGCAGUGAAAUGCGUAGAGAUGCGGAGGAACACCGAUGGCGAAGGCAGCCCCCUGGGCUGACACUGACGCUCAGGCACGAAAGCGUGGGGAGCAAACAGG
rnacentral:rRNA from 1 species